rnacentral:rRNA from 1 species
GACGAACGCUGGCGGCGUGCUUAACACAUGCAAGUCGAACGGAAAGGCCCUGCUUUUGUGGGGUGCUCGAGUGGCGAACGGGUGAGUAACACGUGAGUAACCUGCCCUUGACUUUAGGAUAACUUCAGGAAACUGGGGCUAAUACCGGAUAGGAUCUCCUGCUGCAUGGAGGGGGUUGGAAAGUUUCGGCGGUUGGGGCUGGACUCGCGGCUUAUCAGCUUGUUGGUGGGGUAGUGGCUUACCAAGGCUUUGACGGGUAGCCGGCCUGGGAGGGUGACCGGCCACAUUGGGCCUACGAUACGGCCCAGACUCCUACGGGAGGCAGCAGUGGGAAAUAUUGCACAAUGGGCGGAAGCCUGAUGCAGCAACGCCGCGUGCGGGAUGACGGCCUUCGGGUUGUAAACCGCUUUCGCCUGUGACGAAGCGUGAGUGACGGUAAUGGGUAAAGAAGCACCGGCUAACUACGUG